CUACUUUUGGUGUCCCCCUCAGGAAUUGCUCUUGAGAAAAUUUCAUGUAAUUGUCCCCUCCAAAGUUGACAUCAGAUUUUCGCCCCUGAUUACAUAUAACUGAGUUUUUAAUUUAAUGUAUACAUUUCUCCAUAUUGAUGUUCACUCAUUUUGACAAAGGCAACUUAUAACUACUACCACUGAUGCCACAUGGUCAAGGUGUCAUGUGUAACUCCCAGAUGAAUGAGUCAGGGAAUGGGUAAUUAAGGGGUGGGCCAUGUGAAUCUCCCUCAGGGCACUGACAAGGCUCUACAAGCCCUCCUUAUUACGAUUAUGGCCCUAGUUCCCUCCUCACACAGGUAGGAAAGAGGACAGUGUUUCACAACCCUGACCUGUGAUAAUCACUAUGAAAUCUGAGCACAUUAAUGAUUAUCUUCCACAUAGGGAUUCUCAUUGACAGAGUCACCACCACAGUCAAUAACAUUUAUGAGGAAGGCCAUGUUCUAAUUCCCUCCCAAAUCACUAAAGGGCCAUCAUGAUGAUUUUGUCCAAUUUAUUUGAAGGGUAAUACUUUUAUUUGUGCUGCUAUCAAUGAAGUUAAAGAUUUGAAUGCAGCCACUAAGUGUAAGUUGACUUUCUGCCUUUCAUACACCAGCAGUCCAAUUCUAAUGCUGCGAGGAUUUGACAUAGUCUAUAAUUAUAGCUGAAAGCCUAUAUGACUGUAGGAGGUUGAUGCAUUCUCUGGCAAGACCCAGGAGACAUUUGAUUUUAUCUGUGUCAUUAAACAGCAAAGUGCUUAAAAAUCAAAUAAACAUGGCAAUAAAAGUGGUUGGGUUCUCUUUUAGAUAAUUUUUUUUGAGGUUCAUGAAACAAAAGGAAGUGUGAUAGGUGAAUAAUAGCUGUGAAAGAAUUCAAUGUGAAGGUAAACUUGAGAUUUCAGAAGCAGUAAAACUCUCAAUCUGAGAGGGAUACAGUAUGUAAUUGUCACGUCCUGACCCUAGUAAGAUGUCAUUUUCUAUAGUAGAGUAGGUGACAUCUAUAGUAGAGUUUGUGUUUUUUUCUAGGUUUGUGUUCUAGGUUUUCUAUUUCUAUGUUGUUGUUUUUUUGGGUUGAUUUCCAAUUAGAGGCAGCUGGUCCUCGUUGCCUCUGAUUGGAGAUCAUAUUCAUGUAAGGGGUUUUCCUUUUGUAUUUUGUGGGUUGUUAUCUUUUGAGUAGUGUUUGUUUCUCUCUGCGUCACGGUUUGUUGUUUUUGUAAAUUCAGUUAUUUUGUGUAUUGAAAAAGUUUCACGGAUUUUAUCAAAUGUGGAACUACAACCACGCUGCACUUUGGUCUGAUCCUUUUGACAGCCAUGACAGUAAUUCAACUGUAGGAAUAGAUUGUUACUCAAUCGCUCUUCCCUCUGACAACAGCAUGUCUUUCAGUGAGUCAAGGACAAUUAUCAUACCCUUAGCUUGUCAAGAUGUGUCGGAGGAACUACAAUUUUAUCUAUUUUCAAAACAAGUGGGUGGACAGAUGCUAUAGAGUCUAUUUCUCUGAGAGGGGGUGUAUUGCAUAGUGACAGAAAAGCCAGAGACAAGAAGAAAUGACGGAUAAGUGAGAGUUAAGCAACUUUGACCUUCAAAGACUUCAACUAACAUUGUUUUUGUCUGGUCCAAACUCAGUAUCCUAUAAUUCUAUAUGAGGAUACUAGGGGAAUUUGAGGAAAAUGUUUACAGGGAAAUAAAAGGCAAGUUUGAGGAUUGGGUACGUGGGUGUUCUAGUAUCACUCCAGAUGUUAUUCUUUGACGAAAGGAAAGUCUCAAGAAAUAUACAAGAGAUGGAAGAUAAUAGAAGCAAGGUUAUAAAACACACAAAAGUAUGAAAUGUAUGGAAUUCAAGGGCAACAUUUUAGAAUAAGAUGCCCUUUAUGUCAUGGUUAGUUUGAUAAGGGGGAAUGCAGUACUAAUUAUUGUCCCUGUUUACUGAAAUAAACAAGAAAUAGAACAUCAUUUCCAUAUAAGGGAAUAAAUCAAACAUGGAGUUUAUAAAAAAUAACUAGAGGCCUUUCCAGAUGACUGACAAAAGUGAAACUGAAAAGUCAUCUGAAGCUGCUUGCAUUUGCCCGAACCAUCAGCAUAAUUCCUCACUCAAACCAGAGCAAAAAGGCCAGUCUGCACAUGUUCUAGUGCAAACCUGACACUACAUGACAUUAGGCAUGAAAAGAAACCCAGAGGAAUGAUCCAUGUUAUCAUACAAUUGAGAUGUGAGACACUCCUCUGGCUCAGAAAUGUGCAAGACCUAAACACAGCUUGAGGUUAGUUCAAGUGCUUUAAAUCUGUAUGAGUAAACCACUCAGGAAAAGAGAGGCAGGAAGUCAAACAGAGAAGACUGUGAUUUUAAGAGCUUUAACAAGAUGAUGAAACAACAGAGAAAAACAGAGGUCAUUUUUGUCUGGGUCUUAGCCAUCUGGCUCUCUUCAGUUGUCAACAGUGAAAGUAAAGUGGAGCUGAGAACCAGUACUGAGGUAAAGGCUCAGUGUGAUCAGAAUGUGUCCCUGCAGUGUGACAUCAUGUCACCGAGCCCACUCAAGAUCAUUCUCUUUUCCUGGGUAAGGAAAGGGAAACAGCUGUGUGUGGUCAAUGCCACUGGUGUAUUCUCCUUUCCUGGCGUCCGGUGUGACAACACAAACAACACCCUCACACUCAAUCUGACUCGGGUGAUGCCGUCCAGUCAGGGUAACUACACCUGCAAACUGCGCUCCAACCUAACGAUCACAGCUGCCAACACCACUGUGACAAUGCAAGAGUGCCUAAGGACAUCUGAGCACAAAGUGUUCCAGAAUGAGUCUCAGGUUGAGUGCCAGUUAUUUGGAGUUUACCCAGAAGGCACAGUACACUGGUUCCUGGGCUCUGAGAAUAUAACAGAGUCCGCCAGCACAAAGAGCCAGCUGGAUGAAGAGGGGCUGUUUGAUAUAAGGAGUACCCUGCCUACCCAGGCUGGGACUGAGCCUUACAACUGCUCCUUGUGGAUACCUAGUAGUGGAACCUACAGCUCUCACAAACAGCUGCACUACUCCAGGGGGCUCUCUUCAGGGACAAAGACUAGGAGCAGACUGCUGUUGUUCUUCAUCCUGGUUGGACUCAUAAUCAUAAUUUAGGACUACUCAUGGGAAGGUCAGGAGUUUUUUUACUGAAUAUGGGACUUCGAACUACAGUAGGGCAAAGGGCUUUUCUGGUCAGGGCACAUCUACACAGGAUGGAUCAGGGCCUUUCUCUUACUGAGUGAAGAGAAAGCAAACCUGGACUGCCAUGGCCAAAGUAGAUAUAUGUUUUCACUUAUUAUACUGGGAAGCAAAAUAUCAAAGAAAUUGCAAUAAAUACAAUUGAAUUUUAAAGCUGAAAAUCAUUGUACAUUGGGAUUUGAGAAUACUGUAAGAAGUAUUCAUCCGUUCAUCGUUUGUCUUCAACGUUAUACACUUGCUUAAAUUGCAUUGCUUAUUACAGUAGUAGAGUACUGCUUCCUGGUGGUGAAAGUGUUUACUGAUGGAAAUAGUAUUGAUGUUAGAUGAGUAAUAAAGCUGUUCUAAAUUGUAUUGUUGAAUUGACUGAUCUUGCUUAUUAAGUCUGUCAUAUCUUGUUGCUGUGUUUUCCAGUCAGCACUGAUUAGACUGAUUAUAUAAUCAAUCAAUGCAAUGUCAAAACAUGGCUAGAAGGACAUGUUACUGUGUGUUCUGGAUUCUAAAAUACAACUUGAAUUGUACCAUAGCAAAUAUAGUCACCCGUGUUGUUUUCUGUACUAGUUCUCAAUUUAAAAAUGAACCAGACCACCCUGGGUACUCAUGACAUUGACAGUAAAAGAAUGAGGACUCAUGGUCAUUCAAAUUGCAUUUCUAGUUCCUUCUCAGUGUACCACAAGGGGGCAGAGUCAUCCCACCAGAGAGGACUGUCAAACCAAUCAUACACAACUCUUCUCCCUCUGCAUACAAACACACACUCAUGCUGUGUGAAUUCCAAUCCAACUGUUCUGUAUAAAUCAACACUUUGAUGUGACACAUUUCCUAUCAAUUUCCUCUACGCCAAUGUGGGUCUCCUGCAAAGUGAAGGAGUGAAGGGUAAAAUGUCUGUCAUUAUAAAACACUCAAAUAAAUCCACAUGACUUCUGUGGUGUCAAACUCACAUCUCUAAUGCAUUAUCCAGGUGCGAGGAUAUGUAAUGUGUUUUAGAUGGACUGACCUUGUUGCACAUGUUGUGUGGGCUGCUGUGAGAGAUGUUAAAAGUACCUGUUGAGUACACAGUAUAACAACACAUGCAUUUUUCUGAUAAAUAGGUACAUUUCCCCAACAAUUGUGAGGAUUCCUGCAAAGUGGGAUGUCAUUAUCAAACACUAUGAGUCCUGUUGUCAUUAUCAAACACUCAUCAAUAUGAUGAGUACUGUUGUCAUUAUCAAACACUCAUCAAUAUGAUGAGUCCUGUUGUCAUUAUCAAACACUCAUCAAUAUGAUGAGUCCUGUUGUCCCAAGCAGGGCAUGAUCAGAAAUAUAGUGUUUUAAAUCGACUGACAGUUUGUUUCAGUAAAAUCAAACAUUAUCUAGAAUGGAGAUGAUGGUGUUGUGUCUUUGCAUCAUUAAAACGGAAGACAUGUUUAUCAAAUAACUUUCUGUAAUUAUUAUUACGCGAUUAAACUGAUUAAUCGUGUAACUGUAAUUAACUAGGAGGUCGGGGCACCAAGGAAAAUAUUUAGAUUACAAAGUUAUAAUUUUCCUAAUAUAACUUUCAGAUAUCAUACUAUCUGAUCUGAGUCUUCUGAUUAAUGAUGUGUUAUUUACCUCGCCA
rnacentral:lncRNA from 1 species